rnacentral:sRNA from 1 species
CCGAUUUUGCUCUGUCUUGCCUCAUUCAGAUGGAGCUCCCUCCUGGCUGUCCUGCCCCCCAGAUGCCCAGGGCUGGGGUUGCCAUGGGGGGAUCAGGGUGGCAGGGCCUCGUGACCACUGUGUAAUGAUUUCUGCUCCUUGGGGCUCCAGGACGGCCGGGGCUUUGGCAUUGGGGAGCUGGUGUGGGGGAAACUGCGGGGCUUCUCCUGGUGGCCAGGCCGCAUUGUGUCUUGGUGGAUGACGGGCCGGAGCCGAGCAGCUGAAGGCACCCGCUGGGUCAUGUGGUUCGGAGACGGCAAAUUCUCAGUGGUGUGUGUUGAGAAGCUGAUGCCGCUGAGCUCGUUUUGCAGUGCGUUCCACCAGGCCACGUACAACAAGCAGCCCAUGUACCGCAAAGCCAUCUACGAGGUCCUGCAGGUGGCCAGCAGCCGCGCAGGGAAGCUGUUCCCCGUGUGCCACGACAGCGAUGAGAGUGACACUGCCAAGGCCGUGGAGGUGCAGAACAAGCCUAUGAUUGAAUGGGCCCUGGGGGGCUUCCAGCCCUCUGGCCCUAAGGGCCUGGAACCACCAGAAGAAGAGAAGAAUCCCUACAAAGAAGUGUACACGGACAUGUGGGUGGAACCUGAAGCAGCUGCCUACGCACCACCUCCACCAGCCAAAAAGCCCCGGAAGAGCACAGCGGAGAAGCCCAAGGUCAAGGAGAUUAUUGAUGAGCGCACAAGAGAGCGGCUAGUGUACGAGGUGCGGCAGAAGUGCCGGAACAUUGAGGACAUCUGCAUCUCCUGUGGGAGCCUCAAUGUCACCCUGGAACACCCCCUCUUCGUUGGAGGAAUGUGCCAA